rnacentral:rRNA from 1 species
UACGUAGGGUGCGAGCGUUACUCGGAAUUACUGGGCGUAAAGCGUGCGCAGGCGGUGAUGUAAGACAGAUGUGAAAUCCCCGGGCUCAACCUGGGACCUGCAUUUGUGACUGCAUCGCUGGAGUGCGGCAGAGGGGGAUGGAAUUCCGCGUGUAGCAGUGAAAUGCGUAGAUAUGCGGAGGAACACCGAUGGCGAAGGCAAUCCCCUGGGCCUGCACUGACGCUCAUGCACGAAAGCGUGGGGAGCAAACAGG